ensembl:lncRNA
CCCAGCCUUUGCUCUCUGUUCGACAGCUUGCUGCCUUCAGUUGUAUGACCAAUCCUCCUUUUUGAUGAUUUUUUUUGCAGUUGCUGGAUGGCUGACUCAGACUCAGAUUUCAUGUAAGCAAACACAGCUUGAAAGCACUCUUGCCUGCCGCAUAUAACGAAGUGCCUGUAAAAGAGUUUAUGGUAGAGAUACAUGCACCCAACAUCAACCUUCUCAUCUUUUCUCAGUGUAGAGACAUGUAAUUUAUAAUGUCUCACCCCUGCAAUGCAGGGAUCGGAGCCCGAAUAGUUUAGUUUUGCCACAAGAUGUUUCCACGUGGCUUACAGGAAGGCUGAUACACAAGACAUCCUGGGGUGAGGCAUCUUCUCGCAUCCACAUCUUCACUGAGGGCCACCCUGCAGACAACCUCUCCAAUCGACACAGGCUAUAUAAUCCUCCUCUUCCUACGUCCACAAUCUGCUGGUUCACAGUAGUGAUAAUCCCUGCAUUAUUUGCAUUGCUUUCAUUGGUUUCCUUUAUCAUUUCUUCUUUUGUAAAUUAAAGACUCAAAAAAAUAAUUUAAAAAAAUAAAGACUCAGUUACUCCAGUGUUAAGC